rnacentral:rRNA from 1 species
UACGUAGGCAGCGAGCGUUGUUCGGAGUUACUGGGCGUAAAGGGUGUGUAGGCGGUUCUUUAAGUUUGGUGUGAAAUCUCCCGGCUCAACCGGGAGGGUGCGCCGAAUACUGAGGGACUCGAGUGCGGGAGAGGAAAGUGGAAUUCCUGGUGUAGCGGUGAAAUGCGUAGAUAUCAGGAGGAACACCGGUGGUGUAAACGGCUUUCUGGACCGUAACUGACGCUGAUGCACGAAAGCGUGGGUAGCAAACAGG